GCAACGUUACUCCGCUAGGGUUCAUCAUUCUCUCAGUUCGUGGUUUCAUCGUUUAACGAAGAACCGUCGCCGUCCAUUAUUCAACCACAAAUCACCACCGAUAUUGAUUUUGUGAAGGUGUUGUCGGUAAAUAUUGUUCCUACUCAGCU